UAAAUAGAUGUUCAAACAGGGCUUUUUACUAAAGGGAGAAUUGUUGCGAAUUCAAGGUCAAUUCAAAUGAAUUUCUAAUUUAAGGUCAAAAUGGAAAAUCAUCUCCAAUUCGAUUAUGCUUCUAGUUGGGCUACUUUGGCCCAUUCACUGUGAAUUCCCAACAGUUGUCACUUUAGCAAAUAAGCCUGAUGGAUUCUCCAAAGGUAUUAUCUAAGCAUUAUUUUAUGGUCAGCUAAAAAAGAACUUUGUAUCUUGGGUGAACUGGGUAUUUUUCAAAGUUUCUUGGUAUAGCCUUAAUUUUGCAAGUUUGACACAUUUAGCAAAUAGACCAUUUGAACACAGGAACCUUUUAAUAAUAUAAUUUCUAAAAAUCAGAAA